GAGGGUAUAGCUCAGUGGUAGAGCACAUGCCAAGCAUGCACAAGGUCCUGGGUUCAGUCCUCAGUACCUUCA
rfam:Camelus ferus unplaced genomic scaffold scaffold212, whole genome shotgun sequence.